rnacentral:rRNA from 1 species
UACGGAGGAUGCAAGCGUUAUCCGGAAUGAUUGGGCGUAAAGAGCUCGUAGGCGGCUUGUCGCGUCGUCCGUGAAAACUUGGGGCUCAACCCCAAGCUUGCGGUCGAUACGGGCAGGCUAGAGUUCGGUAGGGGGAGACUGGAAUUCCCUGGUGUAGCGGUGAAAUGCGCAGAUAUCAGGAGGAACACCGGUGGCGAAGGCGGGUCUCUGGGCCGAUACUGACGCUGAGGAGCGAAAGCGUGGGGAGCGAACAGG